rnacentral:lncRNA from 1 species
GUUAUUCUUAUCUUACUAAAUGGCUACAAAUACGUCAGUUUGCGCUAUAUGUGAUCUCCGACAUGUCACAUCACGGUCCAUGAAUUGGUGUCCGGAAUGUGAGGAAGCGCUGUGUAAUGAUUGUAGUGAACAUCAUAGUCUUUCAAGAGGAACACGAAGUCACAAAACCAUUCCUAUAUCACAAUAUCAAUCCUUACCAACCUUUGUAACCGAUAUACAACAGUUAUGCAUUUAUCACAAUGAAAAAUACCAACAAUAUUGUAUGACACAUGCAUGUCCAAUUUGUUAUAAGUGCAUUAAGGAGCAUGGGAAAUGCAUUGACGUCAUUCCUCUUGAAGACGUUAUUAGUGAAGUAAAGAAUUCCGAGCUUUUACGAGA